GAUGAACGCUGGCGGCGUGCCUAAUACAUGCAAGUCGAGCGAACGGACGAGAAGCUUGCUUCUCUGAUGUUAGCGGCGGACGGGUGAGUAACACGUGGAUAACCUACCUAUAAGACUGGGAUAACUUCGGGAAACCGUAGCCAAUACCGGAUAAUCUUUUGAACCGCAUGGUUCAAAAGUGAAAGACGGUCUUGCUGUCACUUAUAGAUGGAUCCGCGCUGCAUUAGCUAGUUGGUAAGGUAACGGCUUACCAAGGCAACGAUGCAUAGCCGACCUGAGAGGGUGAUCGGCCACACUGGAACUGAGACACGGUCCAGACUCCUACGGGAGGCAGCAGUAGGGAAUCUUCCGCAAUGGGCGAAAGCCUGACGGAGCAACGCCGCGUGAGUGAUGAAGGUCUUCGGAUCGUAAAACUCUGUUAUUAGGGAAGAACAUAUGUGUAAGUAACUGUGCACAUCUUGACGGUACCUAAUCAGAAAGCCACGGCUAACUACGUG
rnacentral:rRNA from 1 species